CCUACGGGUGGCUGCAGUGAGGAAUAUUGGUCAAUGGGCGCGAGCCUGAUCCAGCCAAGUAGCGUGAAGGAUGACUGCCCUACGGGUUGUAAACUUCUUUUAUAAAGGAAUAAAGUGCGGCACGUGUGCCUUUUUGUAUGUACCUUAUGAAUAAGGAUCGGCUAACUCCGUGCCAGCAGCCGCGGUAAUACGGAGGAUCCGAGCGUUAUCCGGAUUUAUUGGGUUUAACGGGAGCGUAGAUGGGUUGGUAAGUCAGAUGUGAAAGUUUGCGGCUCAACCGUAAAAUUGCAAUUGAGACUGGCAGCCUUGAGUACAGUUGAGGUAGGCGGAAUUCGUGGUGUAGCGGUGAAAUGCUUAGAUAUCACGAAGAACUCCGAUUGCGAAGGCAGCUUACUAAACUGCCACUGACAUUGAUGCUCGAAAGUGUGGGUAUCAAACAGGAUUAGAUACCCCUGUAGUC
rnacentral:rRNA from 1 species